CACUUUGACGUCCAUACAACGGAUAGUUUCAUUUCGAAAGAGAUGGGGUAACAUAAUCACUUGCUUUGAGUUUGAUUAUUUCGCAAGGAUUAUAUAUUGCAAUAUUUAAGCAAAGUUGGUGAGGAAGGGAGAAUGUUUAAUUAUCAUCACAUAGGACUGUUAUUAAAACUUAUAAGUGACGAAAUCAGAAAAAUAAAUGAAUAGAAAUUGACAGAAUUAUGUCCAAGCCCACGAGUUUCUUGUAUGUCCUUAAAAAAAUUUAUCCCCUCACUGUUACCCAAGGUUGACAGAUAAAUUCUUCCCAUGAUAGAACGGAACUUCCAACUUAGCGGUAGCGGCACUUCAAACCACUAAGUUAUCGGCGAACUCAAAAGUAAUGGAGCAAACCACACGAGGAACUUACUUUGUUUUAAAGUAAUGAUACAGAGAGAAAAAGGAAAUGAAGCAGUGAAAAAUUCUGAAGUGAGCAAAUCACACGAGGAACUUACUUUGUUUUAAAGUAAUGAUGCAGAAAGAAGAAAGAGAUGAAGCAGAAAAUUUUAGAGUGAAAAAUUCCGAAGGAAUGCCUGUUUAUUUAUAGCCAACGAAUUUUGGAUUGAAAGGGUGCAAAAGUGGCUUAUCACACUGCAGGUGGCUAUUCAUGAAAGAUAGCCUUUCUGAUGGUUGCGGGAAUAUUUCAAUAAAUUAAAAACAAAUAUUAAAUAAUUUUAUCUCGUUACAAAUAAGGGUCACAAAAAUAUUAAUAUAAACUACGAAGCUGAAGCCGAAGCCGAGCGGAGCAACGACGGCGCAAGGCACCUUCCUCUUAUCUCCUUUUAAGAGCUUAACGAAGUGCUUGUAUAUUUAAACCCAACCAAAUACUUGUCUUUAACAAAUGAGGGACAAAGUGCAAAAGCUAAAGUUGUCUUUUCACCUUCUUUCCUCAUUUCUCAUUCACACCACCACUUUAACCCCAAUAUAUCUUACAAGGAACGACUAGGCCUUAACUGAGCCGGGGGUCGAUUGGAAACAGCCUCUCUGCCCUUUCGGGUAGGGGUAAGGCUCGUCUNNNN
rnacentral:lncRNA from 1 species